CCCCCCUCCCCUCCCCCACCGAUGAGGGCUCUGAGGCUGACUCCAGAAAAAAGGAGGUGGGGAAAGAGAGAGACAGAGACAGUGACAAAGAGAGGAGGGAGAGACGGGGAGAAGGGACAAAGAGAAAAAGAGAAGGGAGGAAGAAAAAAGGAAAGAAAAAGGGAGAAGAAGAAAUGGGGGAAGAGAGAAAGUGAGAGGAAAAAGGAAGAGCAGGAAGAGAGAGGCGGGGAGGGACAGGGGCAGACAUCCGCAGCCUGCCAGUAGAAGUCACAGUAAAGCUCCAGCCCCUCGGCUGAGCCUCGGGGCCACCCCCCCCCCACGCCCUGGGCCACAGGUGGCUCUCCCUGGGAACGGCCACACAAACACGGGCAGUUGUUGGGGGGUCACCGUCCCGGAAACGCCCGGGCCGCCCCCUCCCCGCGCAGCUUCCCUCGGCUCCCGGGCCGCGCUCAGGGCUUCCUGAGUCCCUUCCCAUCUGGCCCCGGGCCUUGGGGGCUUCCCGGACCCCUCUCGCCGCCCGGCCUCCCCUCUGCCCCGAGGCUCAGGCAGGACGGAGGCCCAGGCGGCCUCUCAGCAGGGGGGCUUCCCGGCCCCCAGAGUGGCCAGAGGCCGGCCAGUGCCACGCCCGCAGCCCCAGCCUCGGGGUCAGGCGGCCGCGCCCGCUCUGGAACCUGCCAGGCAGGCUGCUGGCCCGCUCCCAGCGUGUGGAAGGGCACGGUUCCCACCUGCAGCAGCCUCCCUCCCGGCCGCCCACCGGCCCGACCCCAGAACACAACACAAGGGCCCGGCUCGGGGGUCUCGGGGACCCUCUUGUCGGCCCCUCCCACCAGAGGGCUAGCUGGUGGCAAGCAGGGCAGGGGCAGAGCCGCCGGGCCCCCGUGGUCCCCUGCGCCCCGGCCUGGCCCCUCUGGCGCCCCCCCCCCCAAGUCUGGGCCCCGUGGCCGGGGGUCAGCGGCUCACAAUUGUCUGGAGGCAGGUGCCUGCUAGCCCCUCUCCCCGCUGGGGCCUCCCCCGGCCUCCAGCACCUCCCCACAGGACGGAGGCUCCCAGGGGGCCCACGGGGAAGGUGAGGGGCCCCCACCCCGGGCCCUUUGCCCCAGCCC
rnacentral:lncRNA from 1 species